rnacentral:rRNA from 1 species
GACGAACCACACAAACGUUAUUCGGAAUUACUGGGCUUAAAGGGUGCGUAGGCUGCGCAGCAAGUUGGGUGUGAAAUCCCUCGGCUCAACCGAGGAACUGCGCCCAAAACUGCUGUGCUCGAGGGAGACAGAGGUGAGCGGAACUUAGGGUGGAGCGGUGAAAUGCGUUGAUAUCCUAAGGAACACCCGUGGCGAAAGCGGCUCACUGGGUCUCUUCUGACGCUGAGGCACGAAAGCCAGGGUAGCGAACGGG